GCAUCACAGCGCAGGUGAAGGAGGCCGGCAUCGCCUGGGACAAAGGAGAAAAGAGGAACCUGGAAGUGCUCCGCUCAUUCCAGAACCAGAUUGCCGCCAUCCAGCGGGAUGCCGUCUGGUGGCUCCACACUGUGGUCCCCUCCAUCAGCAAGCUCGCCCCUAAGGACUACGUGCACUGCCUGCACAAGGUGCUGUUCACAGAGCAGCCGGAGACCUACUACAAGUGGGACAACUGGCCACCCGAGAGUGACCGCAAGGAUUCAGCUGCCGUCUGCGUCCACGUGACUCCAAGCCCCAGCCGCAGCCUCCCCCGGACCCCCGCCUUCCAGUUGCUUCCAGGGCGUCCACGGGCACGCCACCCUUCACGCAGUCUCAGAUGCACCGUCUGCCCCUGCUUCUGUCCAGACAGCCGCACACUGUC
rnacentral:lncRNA from 1 species